UGUCUCUAUCUCUCCUCCCCUCUCUUCCUUUCUCUUACUCUCUCUCCCACUCUCCUUCCUUCGGUCUUUUACUGAGUAAGUUCAGAGAAGCUUGGGAGGGGUGACGAUAGGGGUGGGGCGGUGUUGUGGCUGCUUUGGUAGCCAGAGUUGUAUUCUCUUCCCCUCUGAGUAAGAGGUAGUUAGGCACUUCUCUCCUCAUAGUACCUAUCUGUUACUCACAAGUAUUCAAAUACUAGAAUCUCGAGAUGUUGCAAUCACAAGGUAUGAAUAAUGUUCUGCGUACAAGUUAACAUUUGUUGAACUGAAUUGAAAAGGUCAAAAGCAGGAUCCCUAAGACCCACUAGUAAUCAGUUGCUUUUCUUUGCACCAGAAACCUGUUUCUCCUGAAUCCCAUCUGAGGCCUGUUAUUGCUGGGGCUGGAAGGUUUUCUCUCCGGGUAGUCCGACAUUUAAAAAAAAAAAUCUGGAUCUUGUGAUAUCAUCAGGGUGGGUAACUCCAGUGUGGAAACCCCUUCCCACAUCUCCAUCUAUAACUUACAGUACUGCUUGGGGGUAUUGAGCCGGAGAGCGACCUGGGGUGAUACAGCCACUGUAUUAAAGGCCAAUCUGGACCCAGGUCUUCCUGACCCCAGGGGCAGAACUGUUCCUAAUUUACCACCCUGUCUCAUGCCCCCUCCCUUCAAAUAACCAGAGCUGUCCAUAGUGUCCCCCCACCCCCUGAAAUACUGCUUAUGCGAAUAUAAAUUCUAAUUAACCAUCAUUGAAUUGAAUUGACCACCUGCCCCUCAGCGACAUCAAGCCUUUUUUGGGGGAGGGAGAGGGACAACUUGGUUAUUAACCAACGAGGCAGGUGUCUCCCUCUGGACCAAGCUCCCUGCAUUUUCCACAGCCCAACCCACUUUCUCGAUGACGGACUUUGUCUUGAUCAGCUUCUGGGUCAGGAAGUUGAGGGUUUUGUUAUUCAUUUCCAAGUAAGCUGCCUUCCAGGUAUUCCUUUCUGGACCUGGGAGGGGGCAAGGUUUUCCGGAAGCUCCCUCGAGAGAGAAGCUCCAUUGUUCUCCUUUCUGAACAUCUUCCCCAGUACUUGAUCUUCCUCUAAAGAAUCCUCAGCUAUGUUUAGAAUCAAAUUCCAUGGGCAUGCUCUAAAUUCAAGGUCUUUGGGGAGGGCCCGUAUCUAUUGCUAUGGUCAUUCACCCCCAACCCAUAAUUGUGUAAUUCUCCUUAGGCUCACGCUUGCCUUUGUCCCAGAAAGCUACUAGUGCUAGCAGCAUUGCUAAUGCUAGUAAUCCAGCUUCUCUCCACCACACCCAGAGCCACCAAAAAAAUCCAUCAUCCUGCAUGAAGCUCCAAAAGUAUAAACCACAUGUAAGAGCCAUCUCGGUCCAAUGGCAAGAUACAUGGAUCAAGACAAUUGGAGAUGGUCCCUGGCACGUAUUAGGUGCAAUAUGAAGAAACUAAGGUCUAGAGGUUGUGACUUGCUCAACGCCACAGAUCUUGGAACCCAGGUCCUCUAGAAUUUAAAUUUCCUAACCAACUCUUCCUUUUUAAAAAAAGAAACAGUUAAGCAAAACAAAAUUGAUCUACUGUGUUUGAUAAUGUGUGCAUUGUUCUGCAUUUGUAUUCUAUUCUCUCUCUCUCUCUAAAGAGGAAGAAAAUAUGGCUCUUCACCAGACACCUGAAAUCAAUACUGGUCACUGCAUUAAUAUAAAUUCUAAUGUUUUCUAAAGUUGUUUUCUCCUUUACAUGCCAUGGUCAUUGUGUAAUUGUUCUCUUGAUUCUACUUCUUUGCUCUGCAUUGGUUCACAAAAGUCUUCCUUUUACUUAAAUAUUUUCAUGUUACACUUAUAUCUAGUGUAUAUGUAUGUAUGGGCAGGAUGUA